rnacentral:tRNA from 1 species
GCAUCGGUGGCUUAGUGGUAGAAUGCUCUCCUGCCACGCGGGCGGCCCGGGUUCGAUUCCAGGCCGAUGCA